rnacentral:tRNA from 1 species
UCCCUGAUGGCUCAGAUGGUAAAGCAUCUGCCUGCUAUGUUGGAGACCCAGGUUCGAUCCCUGGCUCAGGAA